GGGGGAGCUGACCGGAAACGCGUCUUCUCUAGAGGCGAUCAGCGGUUGUUGGCGGUCACAGGCAUAUCCCGUAACACCAGCCUACUGGCUGCAGUGUGGACCUGCGAGCUUUAAUAAGCAGGAGCGAGCAGCGGGUGGAAGGAGGCCUGGACACAGUACUCCAGAUGGGACUUCAUGAGGGCAGAGCAGAGAGGGACAAUCCCAUCCCUGUUGAAGAGCACUGGUCUCAAGAUGGACCCUAGGAGAUACCACUAGUCAUCUGGACAGAGAGCUGUUGACCACAACCUUCUGGCUAUGAUCAUCCAGUCAAUUCCCUAUACAAUGAAUAGUCUACUCUUUCAAUUUAUAUCUUCCCAAUUUAGAGUUAAGAAUGUAAUGUGAGACCAUAUCAGAGGCUAUCCAGAAUUCCAGGUAGAUGAUAUCAGUCACUCUUCCUUUCUCUACUGAUGCUGUCACUCCAUCAUAGAAGGCAAUCAGAUUGGUCAGGCAAUCUGGGUAGGUCAGAAGUCCACAAGCAUUCACUGCUCACAGCAACAUAUUUUUGCAUUUUGUAAACACUGUGCUGGCCCCCUCAGCAGCCAUUCUCCUUAGAAUAGGGGUUACCUUUGAAAUUCAGUCAAAUUCCAGGCAGUAGACUACAGUGGCUAUGCAGCGAAGAAUCCUGAGUUCACAGGGCUCAGCAGGGAGCCUGUGGAAAGAUGCGCAAUGGGAAAGCCCUUCUUCCUCUAUAGAAACAUGCGUUUAUUUAUAUCAGAAUAUAUUUUUGUUUGAUUUUCAUGAAAGUGUUUUAUAUCACAUCAUCAACAGAAGUGGUUUCUUUUGGCUUCUCCAAAAACUCAUGCUGAACUGAUGUCAGUUUAAUUCAAAUUUUCCCCAACUAUGUUUUGUAGGGAAAAUCGAUCUAAUCUUGUUAUUCUUAAGUGUUACUCUUUAUAAUGAAAAAAAAAAAAAAACCCUCAACCAUAGUCAGUUUGCCUAAAUGUAUCACAGUGGGUGAGGAGAAAUGGGUUUUCUGCUGCAAUUUUCUUUCUCAUUGUUAGAGGAAAUUGCCACUUAUUGGCAGGGUUAAAAACAAUCUGGCACUCAAGGUGUUAGCAGGAAUCCUCAUGUGAGCGGUAGCUACAGCCCAACAGACUGAGCUGUUCCAUUUAUGUGGCUGUGCUUAUUCACAGCUAUAUGAGCAGGAGAUAAUUGCAGAAUGAAACCAUUAAGAAACUAAUGUACUUUACUUAACCUCAAGUGCGUAAAUUACCAAAAUCUUUUUCAAAAUAUUCAGCUUAGGUAAGUACCAUCACCCCUUCCCAGGAAUACUCAGCAUAACUAAGUAUGGCUGGAGUGCUAACCAGUAGAUACGGCUGUAUAAUGGGCAACAUCAGUAAACUCUGAGGCCAUUAAGCAAUGGGAAGGGACCCAAGUUUGGCACUUACCUUUUUAGAUGGUGCAUUAAGGCCUCAGAUAAUCUGUUCUGACAGCUGCUAGGGCAAUAAGGGUUUUCCUGUUAUCUUCCAUGGGAACAAGUAUAAUUCCGGUGAUACUGAAAGAGCUGUGCUGCCAUGGAUCAGCUUAGCUGCCCCAUCUGUACACUUUGAUGUACACAUAGGAGAAAAUAAUUUUAUUGUGAAGCAGAAUGUCUUCGCUUGUUCUAAUGAGUGAAACAAAAUCACUGAGACAAGUGUGGUCUUUGGAAGCCCUGAACAUCACAUCAGAUUCUGAUAUAGGCUGCUGCAAGCAAUUAGCAAAGUUUCAAGCAGCCACCUGAAAGAAAUAAUGGCUUUCAUUGGAGUUAACACAGUCAUUUCUUCCAUGAAGCUUCUUGUGAAUAAUUCUUGGUGGAAAAAUUGUACAUGAUUUCUUUUCAUUUAUAUUUUAAUGCAAUUUAUUAUACAACAGCGACCUCCAUUCAAGGUUCAGAAGAUCAGAGUACUUACAGUAAUCUUCACAGUACUUUGUAUCUCCAGCUACAGCUUACAUUCACAGCAUGAAAAGAAUAAGAAAUUAAUGUACCAAAUC
ensembl:lncRNA